rnacentral:rRNA from 1 species
GACGAACGCUGGCGGCGUGCCUAAUACAUGCAAGUAGAACGCUGAAGAGAGGAGCUUGCUCUUCCUGGAUGAGUUGCGAACGGGUGAGUAACGCGUAGGUAACCUGCCUUGUAGCGGGGGAUAACUAUUGGAAACGAUAGCUAAUACCGCAUAACAAUGGAUGACCCAUGUCAUUUAUUUGAAAGGGGCAAAUGCUCCACUACAAGAUGGACCUGCGUUGUAUUAGCUAGUAGGUGAGGUAACGGCUCACCUAGGCGACGAUACAUAGCCGACCUGAGAGGGUGAUCGGCCACACUGGGACUGAGACACGGCCCAGACUCCUACGGGAGGCAGCAGUAGGGAAUCUUCGGCAAUGGGGGCAACCCUGACCGAGCAACGCCGCGUGAGUGAAGAAGGUUUUCGGAUCGUAAAGCUCUGUUGUAAGACAAGAACGAGUGUGAGAGUGGAAAGUUCACACUGUGACGGUAGCUUCCCAGAAAGGGACGGCUAACUACGUGCCAGCAGCCGCGGUAAUACGUAGGUCCCGAGCGUUGUCCGGAUUUAUUGGGCGUAAAGCGAGCGCAGGCGGUUUGAUAAGUCUGAAGUUAAAGGCUGUGGCUCAACCAUAGUUCGCUUUGGAAACUGUCAAACUUGAGUGCAGAAGGGGAGAGUGGAAUUCCAUGUGUAGCGGUGAAAUGCGUAGAUAUAUGGAGGAACACCGGUGGCGAAAGCGGCUCUCUGGUCUGUAACUGACGCUGAGGC